rnacentral:rRNA from 1 species
GGGUUGUGAGGUUAAGCGACUAAGCGUACACGGUGGAUGCCCUGGCAGUCAGAGGCGAUGAAGGACGUGCUAAUCUGCGAUAAGCGUCGGUAAGGUGAUAUGAACCGUUAUAACCGGCGAUUUCCGAAUGGGGAAACCCAGUGUGUUUCGACACACUAUCAUUAACUGAAUCCAUAGGUUAAUGAGGCGAACCGGGGGAACUGAAACAUCUAAGUACCCCGAGGAAAAGAAAUCAACCGAGAUUCCCCCAGUAGCGGCGAGCGAACGGGGAGCAGCCCAGAGCCUGAAUCAGUGUGUGUGUUAGUGGAAGCGUCUGGAAAGGCGCGCGAUACAGGGUGACAGCCCCGUACACAAAAAUGCACAUAUUGUGAGCUCGAUGAGUAGGGCGGGACACGUGGUAUCCUGUCUGAAUAUGGGGGGACCAUCCUCCAAGGCUAAAUACUCCUGACUGACCGAUAGUGAACCAGUACCGUGAGGGAAAGGCGAAAAGAACCCCGGCGAGGGGAGUGAAAAAGAACCUGAAACCGUGUACGUACAAGCAGUGGGAGCCUCUUUUAUGGGGUGACUGCGUACCUUUUGUAUAAUGGGUCAGCGACUUAUAUUCUGUAGCAAGGUUAACCGAAUAGGGGAGCCGAAGGGAAACCGAGUCUUAACUGGGCGUUAAGUUGCAGGGUAUAGACCCGAAACCCGGUGAUCUAGCCAUGGGCAGGUUGAAGGUUGGGUAACACUAACUGGAGGACCGAACCGACUAAUGUUGAAAAAUUAGCGGAUGACUUGUGGCUGGGGGUGAAAGGCCAAUCAAACCGGGAGAUAGCUGGUUCUCCCCGAAAGCUAUUUAGGUAGCGCCUCGUGAAUUCAUCUCCGGGGGUAGAGCACUGUUUCGGCAAGGGGGUCAUCCCGACUUACCAACCCGAUGCAAACUGCGAAUACCGGAGAAUGUUAUCACGGGAGACACACGGCGGGUGCUAACGUCCGUCGUGAAGAGGGAAACAACCCAGACCGCCAGCUAAGGUCCCAAAGUCAUGGUUAAGUGGGAAACGAUGUGGGAAGGCCCAGACAGCCAGGAUGUUGGCUUAGAAGCAGCCAUCAUUUAAAGAAAGCGUAAUAGCUCACUGGUCGAGUCGGCCUGCGCGGAAGAUGUAACGGGGCUAAACCAUGCACCGAAGCUGCGGCAGCGACACUGUGUGUUGUUGGGUAGGGGAGCGUUCUGUAAGCCUGUGAAGGUGUACUGUGAGGUAUGCUGGAGGUAUCAGAAGUGCGAAUGCUGACAUAAGUAACGAUAAAGCGGGUGAAAAGCCCGCUCGCCGGAAGACCAAGGGUUCCUGUCCAACGUUAAUCGGGGCAGGGUGAGUCGACCCCUAAGGCGAGGCCGAAAGGCGUAGUCGAUGGGAAACAGGUUAAUAUUCCUGUACUUGGUGUUACUGCGAAGGGGGGACGGAGAAGGCUAUGUUGGCCGGGCGACGGUUGUCCCGGUUUAAGCGUGUAGGCUGGUUUUCCAGGCAAAUCCGGAAAAUCAAGGCUGAGGCGUGAUGACGAGGCACUACGGUGCUGAAGCAACAAAUGCCCUGCUUCCAGGAAAAGCCUCUAAGCAUCAGGUAACAUCAAAUCGUACCCCAAACCGACACAGGUGGUCAGGUAGAGAAUACCAAGGCGCUUGAGAGAACUCGGGUGAAGGAACUAGGCAAAAUGGUGCCGUAACUUCGGGAGAAGGCACGCUGAUAUGUAGGUGAAGCGACUUGCUCGUGGAGCUGAAAUCAGUCGAAGAUACCAGCUGGCUGCAACUGUUUAUUAAAAACACAGCACUGUGCAAACACGAAAGUGGACGUAUACGGUGUGACGCCUGCCCGGUGCCGGAAGGUUAAUUGAUGGGGUCAGCGCAAGCGAAGCUCUUGAUCGAAGCCCCGGUAAACGGCGGCCGUAACUAUAACGGUCCUAAGGUAGCGAAAUUCCUUGUCGGGUAAGUUCCGACCUGCACGAAUGGCGUAAUGAUGGCCAGGCUGUCUCCACCCGAGACUCAGUGAAAUUGAACUCGCUGUGAAGAUGCAGUGUACCCGCGGCAAGACGGAAAGACCCCGUGAACCUUUACUAUAGCUUGACACUGAACAUUGAGCCUUGAUGUGUAGGAUAGGUGGGAGGCUUUGAAGUGUGGACGCCAGUCUGCAUGGAGCCGACCUUGAAAUACCACCCUUUAAUGUUUGAUGUUCUAACGUUGACCCGUGAUCCGGGUUGCGGACAGUGUCUGGUGGGUAGUUUGACUGGGGCGGUCUCCUCCUAAAGAGUAACGGAGGAGCACGAAGGUUGGCUAAUCCUGGUCGGACAUCAGGAGGUUAGUGCAAUGGCAUAAGCCAGCUUGACUGCGAGCGUGACGGCGCGAGCAGGUGCGAAAGCAGGUCAUAGUGAUCCGGUGGUUCUGAAUGGAAGGGCCAUCGCUCAACGGAUAAAAGGUACUCCGGGGAUAACAGGCUGAUACCGCCCAAGAGUUCAUAUCGACGGCGGUGUUUGGCACCUCGAUGUCGGCUCAUCACAUCCUGGGGCUGAAGUAGGUCCCAAGGGUAUGGCUGUUCGCCAUUUAAAGUGGUACGCGAGCUGGGUUUAGAACGUCGUGAGACAGUUCGGUCCCUAUCUGCCGUGGGCGCUGGAGAACUGAGGGGGGCUGCUCCUAGUACGAGAGGACCGGAGUGGACGCAUCACUGGUGUUCGGGUUGUCAUGCCAAUGGCACUGCCCGGUAGCUAAAUGCGGAAGAGAUAAGUGCUGAAAGCAUCUAAGCACGAAACUUGCCCCGAGAUGAGUUCUCCCUGACCCUUUAAGGGUCCUGAAGGAACGUUGAAGACGACGACGUUGAUAGGCCGGGUGUGUAAGCGCAGCGAUGCGUUGAGCUAACCGGUACUAAUGAACCGUGAGGCUUAACCUUACAACGCCGAAGGUGUUU